UACGAGAGGUGCAAGCGUUGUUCGGAGUGAUUGGGCGUAAAGCGCACGUAGGCGGGUCCGCAAGUCUGAUGUGAAAGCCCUGGGCUUAACCUGGGAACUGCAUCUGAAACUGCGAAUCUUGAAUAGCUCAGAGGUUGGUGGAAUUCCUGGUGUAGGGGUGAAACCCGUAGAUAUCAGGAGGAACAUCGGAGGCGAAGGCGGCCAACUGGG
rnacentral:rRNA from 1 species